rnacentral:rRNA from 1 species
UACGAAGGGGGCUAGCGUUGCUCGGAAUCACUGGGCGUAAAGCGCACGUAGGCGGCUUUUUAAGUCAGGGGUGAAAUCCUGGAGCUCAACUCCAGAACUGCCUUUGAUACUGAGAAGCUUGAGUCCGGGAGAGGUGAGUGGAACUGCGAGUGUAGAGGUGAAAUUCGUAGAUAUUCGCAAGAACACCAGUGGCGAAGGCGGCUCACUGGCCCGAUACUGACGCUGAGGCACGAAAGCGUGGGGAGCAAACAGGGAUUAAGAAACCCGUAG